ACUUGGACGUUGUCGUGUUCACGANNCGUCUUAAAUGCCUGAGUGUACCCUGCUUUGCAGCGUAUCAGUGUGAUAAACAUCUUCACUGUUAAGUCUUUCGGGACACGCUCGUGUUGUAGGCUCUAUGCUUUCCAACCGUCCUCCGGACAAUCUCUGACAAUUUGACCUCAAAUCGGGUGGGACUACCCGCUGAACUUAAGCAUAUCAAUAAGCGGAGGAAAAGAAACUAACAAGGAUUCCCCUAGUAACGGCGAGUGAAGAGGGAAAAGCUCAAAUUUUGAAUCUGGUGUCUUUGACUCCCGAGUUGUAAUCUAGAGAAGUGUUUUCCGCGUUGGACCGUGCAAAAGUUCCCUGGAAUGGGGCGUCAUAGAGGGUGAGAAUCCCGUAUAUGGCACGGACUACCAUUGCUAUGUGAUACACUCUCAACGAGUCGAGUUGUUUGGGAAUGCAGCUCAAAAUGGGUGGUAAAUUCCAUCUAAAGCUAAAUAUUGGCGAGAGACCGAUAGCGAACAAGUACCGUGAGGGAAAGAUGAAAAGCACUUUGGAAAGAGAGUGAAACAGUACGUGAAAUUGUUGAAAGGGAAGCGUUUGAAGUCAGUCGCGUCUGUCGGAAUUCAGCCUGGCUUCUGCCUGGUGUAUUUUCUGGCCGACGGGUCAGCAUCAAUUUUGACCGAGGGAAAAAGACUUGGGGAAUGUGGCUGUCUUCGGGCAGUGUUAUAGACCCUCGUUGUAUGUCUCGGUUGGGAUUGAGGAACGCAGCGCGCCUUUUGGCCGGGGUUCGCGCCCUCGGUACGCGCUAGGAUGCUGGCAUAAUGCUAA
rnacentral:rRNA from 1 species